UGGGGAAUAUUGCACAAUGGGCGCAAGCCUGAUGCAGCCAUGCCGCGUGUGUGAAGAAGGCCUUCGGGUUGUAAAGCACUUUCAGCGGGGAGGAAGGCGUUAAGGUUAAUAACCUUGGCGAUUGACGUUACCCGCAGAAGAAGCACCGGCUAACUCCGUGCCAGCAGCCGCGGUAAUACGGAGGGUGCAAGCGUUAAUCGGAAUUACUGGGCGUAAAGCGCACGCAGGCGGUCUGUCAAGUCGGAUGUGAAAUCCCCGGGCUCAACCUGGGGACUGCAUUCGAAACUGGCAGGCUAGAGUCUUGUAGAGGGGGGUAGAAUUCCAGGUGUGGCGGUGAAAUGCGUAGAGAUCUGGAGGAAUACCGGUGGCGAAGGCGGCCCCCUGGACAAAGACUGACGCUCAGGUGCGAAAGCGUGGGGAGCAAACAGG
rnacentral:rRNA from 1 species